CACCCCCACCCCCCCCACGCCCCUGUCCUGGGCUCCUGCGGCAGCGCCUGCAGAUGAGCCUCCCAGGCCUCUCAAGUCAGAUCUGAGCCCUCUAGGGGCUGGUGGGCUGAGGCCCUGCUCCCUCACCCUGGGGGCAGGAAUGUUGGAGAACAAAUUCCUGGGGCUUCCCGCCCUGGAGGCUGGACUCCUGUCAUCUGGGCUCCCGCCUGAUUCCCACGAUCUAUCACAUACCAUGUCACAGAGCAGAAGGCUGAGCCCAGAAGCCCAGAGAGGGAUCAGCCCAUUUGCAAAGCCCUCCUGACAGUAAGGCGACAGGAAGGACCCUGGCACAUUGGGGACCUAAUCAGCCACCAAGAAGUCAUUCCUGCCACCCCUUACCCUGCCUCUCCAUCACCCCCCUGCUUCGGGGUAUGAUGUGCCCUGCCCCCUCCCCGCCCCCAGAUUAUAGAUUCUUCUGAAGGUAGAGCUCACUCUAAAUCCUCUGCACGGACGCCUGGGUGGCUCAGUGGUUGAGCAUCUGCUUCGGCUCAGGGCCUGAUCCCGGGGAUCGAGUCCCGCGUCGGGCUCCCUGCAUGGAGCCUGCUUCUCCCUCUGCCUGUGUC